UACAGAGGUCUCAAGCGUUGUCCGGAAUCAUUGGGCGUAAAGAGCGUGUAGGCGGCCCGGUAAGUCCGCUGUAAAAAGUCAAAGGCUCAACCUUUGAAUGUCAGUGAAUACUGCCGGGCUAGAGUCCGGAAGAGGCGAGUGGAACUCCUGGUGUAGCGGUGGAAUGCGCAGAUAUCAGGAAGAACACCAACGGCGAAGGCAGCUCGCUGGGACGGUACUGACGCUGAGGCGCGAAAGCGUGGGGAGCAAACAGG
rnacentral:rRNA from 1 species